UGUUCAUAAUAUUUUUUUAAGACCGAGAAGUCUAAUUAAGUUUCUCCCUUGUGUAAGUAUGGGUAAAACCAGAGCGCUUUCAUAGUAUCGAAUCAACAUAUUAUUUUAAUUUGAUAACAAAAGUUUUGCAUGAUUUCACAUCAGUUUGAUUAAUGAGCGAUAUUUGUGUACAUUACUACAUAGUGAGCUAUAAAAAUCAUUGCAAUCAGUUCACAGUUGGAACAAUAUCCUGUUUAGAUUUACAUUUUUAAGUAUACAUAUACAACAUCAAAUACAUAUAAAAUCAAAGUAGUGCUUUCGGUAUUUAUUUUCGGUAUUCUAAAAAUGAAUACUGGAUUGAAUCAUGUUUCCUUGAAAUUGAAUCUUAGCAGUAAGGUCAUUAUAAGUGGCUGCAGGAUAGUUCGAAAGAGUUACCGCGGCCUUUGAACAUGUAAGAGUCCGACACUCCCUCACCGCUGCUAACCCACAGCAGGAGGAGGCAGUUUUGAUGAUUUCCCAUAAAAAAGUGAAGUCCUUAAAAUAAAUGAAAAAAAAAUCCACACAUACCACUAACAAGCAUCUGCAAGCUCUGUAUCUCCGACUUCUGGUUCUCACUGAGGGUCUGCAGCUGCUGCAGCUCAGCCCGGAGCCCCAGCACCUCCGACUCCAACUGCUCCUUGUCCUGAAGCAUCUUCCUCAUGUCCUCUGCAAAGAGUGAGGGGAACCACAUAAAUAUUAGUAAGUUACGAGGAAAAAGGCAGAAAUUGAAAGAUUUGGAGGAGGCCUUUGUCUAAAGAUGGACAAUCAAAGGGGUUUGAUGGAUGGAUGAAGUUAAGAGAGGUUUUUCAAGAGAAACUUGUGGUUAAGAAACAGCAUCACAGCAGUAUCUGGUUAACUGGGUCGAGGAAGUCAGAAAGUCACUUUCUGUAGUUGGGAAUAGGCUAUGCAGAUGAUGAUGAGAGCUCUCUAUUGGGUGAAUAAUGGGUGGUGAGUUGGUGUGUGAAUUUAAUCACAAAUAUUUCUUACAGCUGUGUAAAUGUUGAUUGAAUAAACUGGAAACCAUGCACCUAAGGGUAAUUUGCGACAUUAACAGAAAAACGCAACAAUCUAUAAUAAAGUUAAAAUGCUAACCUUAACCAAUAUUAACUAGAAUACCAACCAAUCACCAUUUUACUUAAACUUUCUAUCUAUGUUAUCUAACUAAAAAAACCUUUUAAAUACAGUUACUAUUUGUGUGUUAUGAAUCUAAUUUGUUUAUGGAAGAUUUUAUAUUAGACAAUUUUUUAUAAUUAUAAAAUUAAUUCCAUGUCUGUUGAGAUCUCCACAAAAUUUAUAUUUCACAUUACAUAUUAUAUUGGGUGAAAUUAAUGAAAGAUGAUCUGCCAUUUCAAAAUAAACUCAAAUAAAACAUAAAACUACCAAGUUAUAUCCUGCAUUAGAUGCAGUCAACAAAAGAUAAAUUAAUGUUGCAAUAACAAAUGAUAUAAAAACCACUCUGUAAUUACAAAUGACCUUCAACAAUGUAGGUAUUUGUGUUACAUUGCAUUUUCAUUAUUUACAAGACAAAACUUCAGGUGUAAAUAUCUAUAUAGAAAUGAAGUGACAUACAUUGCAAACAGUGAAGUUAUAACAUAUAAGUGUUAAUGCUGUUGUAGCUCUGAAGAUAACACAUGCAAGUUUAAUGCAUCAACCAUAGUAAUGUCAUUAGUGCAUGAUGUUCCUCUCCCCACUACCUCAUGUUAUGUACCAACCAGCCGCACCAAGCAGGACGGUGCUCACACAUGAACAAGCUACAGGUCUCAUCACAUUCACAGUCACCAGGGAUCCAAACAAUUACCAGAACAAAGGCAAACUACUAAUUAGGACUUAGUGUAAAACUGACAUUCAACCACAAGAAAACAAACUUAUCACGUGAAUAAUAAGUAUUUCAUGCAAUGUAACCAACCAGAACCAAGACUACAAUACCCCCGCGCGGCCUACUCUGCUGAUAACGGACAACGAACCUUCUUUUUGCAAGAACAACUCUUUCAUUUUCGCUCGUUGAACAUUAAAUUCUUCUUCUAGUAAUCUCCUCGUUUGGUCCGCGGCCGGGCCGUUGCACUCGCCCGCGGCCUCCACUUGAAACAGAAACACCAUUGAGUGCUUCUACGGUAGACAUUAUAGCCUAAAUUAGCAAACAAUUGAACAAAAUAACACACCUUUCGGACCGUCUGUGUUCUCACUAGACAUCGUGGACUGGCUGUCCAUUUACUUGAUUCACUGCUAAAACAAUGCUAUUCUUCGAAUUGUUUGCAUUGUUACACAGAUUUAGAACUUUGAAAUUUUAGAAAUUACGAAAAUUGUUGAGAAAAAGAUGAAA